rnacentral:tRNA from 1 species
GCCGGCGUGGUGGAAUUGGCAGACGCGCGGGACUCAAAAUCCCGUGGUAGUGAUACCGUGUGGGUUCGACCCCCACCGCCGGCACCA